rnacentral:lncRNA from 1 species
GCCGCCCUCGGCAGGACAGCCUACCUCACAGCCGCCCUUCCCGGGACCGACGACCUUUCAGCGGCCUUUCGCCGUACCGCCAUCCUCUCAGCCACCCUUCGGCGGACCACCAACCUCACAGCCACUCUUCGCCGGGCCUCCAACCUCACAGCCACCCUUCGCCGGACCGCCAAACUCUCAGCCACCCUUCGGUGGACUGCCUUACACCGGGCCGCCAACCUCACAGCCAUUUGGUGCGUCACCGACCGUGCAGCCGUUCACUGGGGCACCGUACGCAGGACGACCAUCCUCACCAUCAUAUAUGGGCCCACCAUCUUCUCAACCAUUUUCAGGGCCCCCAACUGCGGCCGCUCCUUUCGGGGCUCCGG